AGUGGAAUUGCUGGGUUAUAUGGUAACUAUAUGUUUAACUUUUUGAGGAACUGCCAAAAUACUUUCCACAGUGGCUGCACUAUUUUGCAUUCCUACCAGCAGU
rnacentral:pre_miRNA from 1 species